AUUGUAAAGAUUCAGAUUUUCUGCCUCCAAAUGUAAUGGAAACAAGACUGGUGUGCUGAGCUAUUGAGUGUUCUGUUGUCUGUAGAACACAUGAAGGAAACAGUGAUGCUGUUCACGUCUUGUUCUUCUGAGUUGUUGCAGUUGUAUACUUGAAGUAUUUAAGCUAUGCGUGUGCACUCAUGGAAGAUAGGGUUGGAGGAGUGAGAAAUCAUCUCCCAGGGGGAUGUCUGCACCACAAUCCCUUCUCC